UACGGGGGGGGGCAAGCGUUGUUCGGAAUUACUGGGCGUAAAGGGCUCGUAGGCGGCCAACUAAGUCGGACGUGAAAUCCCCAGGCUCAACCUGGGAACUGCGUCCGAUACUGGAUGGCUUGAAUCCGGGAGAGGGAUGCAGAAUUCCAGGUGUAGCGGUGAAAUGCGUAGAUAUCGGGAGGAAUACCAGUGGCGAAGGCGGCUUCUUGGCCUGUUCUUGACGCUGAGGCGCGAAAGCUGGGGGAGCAAACGGGG
rnacentral:rRNA from 1 species